AACGAACGCUGGCGGCGUGGAUAAGACAUGCAAGUCGAUCGGGACUGGUGAGGUAGCAAUAUCGCGACAGUCCAGUGGCGAACGGGUGCGUAACACGUGGAUACAUUCCGGGAAGCGGGGGAUAGCCCAGGGAAACUUGGAUUAAUACCGCAUGUGAUCGAAAGAUCAAAGACGGGGACCGCAAGGCCUGUCACUUCCCGAUUGGUCCGCGGCCUAUCAGCUAGUUGGCGGGGUAAAAGCCCACCAAGGCUACGACGGGUAGCUGGUCUUAGAGGACGACCAGCCACACUGGAACUGAGACACGGUCCAGACACCUACGGGUGGCAGCAGUCGAGAAUCUUUCACAAUGGGGGCAACCCUGAUGGAGCGACGCCGCGUGGAGGAUAAGGUCUUCGGAUUGUAAACUCCUGUCAUGUGUGAACAAGGUUGCGGGGCUAAUACCUUUGCAAAUUGAUGGUAACACAAGAGGAAGAGACGGCUAACUCUGUGCCAGCAGCCGCGGUAAUACAGAGGUCUCAAGCGUUGUUCGGAAUCACUGGGCGUAAAGGGUGCGUAGGUGGCGUGGUAAGUCAGAUGUGAAAGCCCGGGGCUCAACCUCGGAAUUGCAUCCGAUACUACCAUGCUAGAGUACUGAAGAGGUGACUAGAAUUCUAGGUGUAGCAGUGAAAUGCGUAGAUA
rnacentral:rRNA from 1 species